rnacentral:rRNA from 1 species
AGCGAACGCUGGCGGCAGGCCUAACACAUGCAAGUCGAACGAACUCUUCGGAGUUAGUGGCGGACGGGUGAGUAACACGUGGGAACGUGCCUUUAGGUUCGGAAUAACUCAGGGAAACUUGUGCUAAUACCGAAUGUGCCCUUCGGGGGAAAGAUUUAUCGCCUUUAGAGCGGCCCGCGUCUGAUUAGCUAGUUGGUGAGGUAAAGGCUCACCAAGGCGACGAUCAGUAGCUGGUCUGAGAGGAUGAUCAGCCACAUUGGGACUGAGACACGGCCCAAACUCCUACGGGAGGCAGCAGUGGGGAAUCUUGCGCAAUGGGCGAAAGCCUGACGCAGCCAUGCCGCGUGAAUGAUGAAGGUCUUAGGAUUGUAAAAUUCUUUCACCGGGGACGAUAAUGACGGUACCUGGAGAAGAAGCCCCGGCUAACUUCGUG